CUUUUUCAUGUGCACACAGAAGUUCUGAUGUCAAGUCUAUAGUAAGCCUGAAAAUGAAUGGCUCUGAAAUACACCUAUGGAUAAAUUAUAUUUUAACAGGUACAGGCAGUGUUUUUCAGGUGGUGGAAAUGUCCCCCUGGGGGAAGCAUGUGGCAGUGUAGAACUGCUUCACACCACAAAAGGCUCAUCAGCAGGCUGUGCUCCCUCCCUUAGGAGGCACUGUGGCUGUGCCAGGCACAGGGCAGUCCUUGUGCACAGGAAUCCCUGCUCAGAAACAGCUGGAGCUGGGGAGAGCACAUGGAGCAGGGAGCCCUCCAGUCAACCAGCAAUUCAUGUAACUCACAAAAAAACAAGCAAGAAAGAAUCUGAAGAAAAGUUUAUAAGAAGAUCAAGGUUCCAGUACUAUUGAAAGGCACAUUUCACCCAUGCUGAACAACAGUUGAGUUCAUGGACACGUACAAUGCUCAGAAUUCAUGGCAAAAAGACCACAUAAUGAUGAUAUAUUGUGAAACAUACAUUCCAGACUUUAGUAAAAUACUAAAGUGAUUAUUUUAAGUGUUUCAUGUACAUAAUAAGAGCGGAACAGGCAGAUGCAUCCAAUUACUGUAAUUUACAAGGCAAUAAUUCGAACCUCAAACACAUUUCUCCUUAUUGGAAGAAGGGGCUAUGGAUUAGCAGUGAAACGAGGGGCAGUGAAUGAUCAGGGAGCCAGGAAGCUGCUGCCAUUUGGAAAAUAACAGCCAGCACCUGCUGCAAGUCAGGGGAAUUUAACUUCACUUAUUCAUUUCACUGUGCUGUGGCAGCACAAGGCUGGGCUGGAUGGAUGGGAUGGAUGGAUGGAUGGAUGGAUGGAUGGAUGGAUGGAUGAUGGAUGGAUGGAUGGAUGGAUGGAUGGAUGGAUGGAUGGGAUGGAUGGAUGGAUGUGGAUGGAUGGAUGGAUGGGAUGGAUGGAUGGAUGUGGAUGGAUGGAUGGAUGGAUGGGAUGGAUGGAUGGAUGGAUGGAUGGGAUGGAUAGAUGGAUGGGAUGGAUGGAUGGAUGGAUGGAUGGAUCCGAUGUACACAGAUGUUUCCUUGGCAGUGGGAAGAAUGAAGUCUCCUUGAUGCCUCCCCUCUCCCUGUUCAGUGCUGUGCCUUGUGCAAAUUACCUCCUUUCAUCUAGCUCGGGGUUAAGUUUCACGUUUAGAUGA
rnacentral:lncRNA from 1 species